rnacentral:rRNA from 2 species
CUUUUGACCUCGGAUCAGGUAGGGAUACCCGCUGAACUUAAGCAUAUCAAUAAGCGGAGGAA